rnacentral:rRNA from 1 species
AUUGAACGCUGGCGGCAUGCUUUACACAUGCAAGUCGAACGGCAGCGCGGGCUUCGGCCUGGCGGCGAGUGGCGAACGGGUGAGUAAUGCAUCGGAACGUGCCCAGCAGUGGGGGAUAGCCCGGUGAAAGCCGGAUUCAUACCGCAUACGACCUGAGGGUGUAAGCGGGGGACCGAAAGGUCUCGCGCUCUUGCAGCGGCCGAUGUCGGAUUAGCUAGUUGGUGGGGUAAAGGCUUACCAAGGCGACGAUCCGUAGCUGGUCUGAGAGGACGACCAGCCACACUGGGACUGAGACACGGCCCAGACUCCUACGGGAGGCAGCAGUGGGGAAUUUUGGACAAUGGGGGCAACCCUGAUCCAGCCAUGCCGCGUGCGGGAAGAAGGCCUUCGGGUUGUAAACCGCUUUUGUUCGGGAAGAAAUCCUCUGGGCUAAUACCCCGGGGGGAUGACGGUACCGGAAGAAUAAGCACCGGCUAACUACGUG